UUUAUUAAUGACUUUUAUUUCCGGUGGGAUGUCACCUACAAAAAAUCUACGUUGAUUUUCAGUGGAGGUCAAGCUUAAAUGGACAUCGAUUUUCCAUGGAUGUCGACUUUCUUAGGAUGUCGACAUUCUUAGAGUGUUGACUUUCUUAGGGUGUCGACUUUCCAUGGAAUUCGUCUAUCCAUGAACAUCAACUUUCAACAGACAUCGCCUUCGUUGCGACGCCCGUGAAAUUGCAUUAGCAAUCCGUCUUUUCAAAACCACGUCGUCUUUUCAAAGUGCACGUGGCCGGAUGAAGCCGCGAAGUUAUUCAUACCUGGAGGCGGGAGACAAAAGUUCGUGAGUGGGAUAUGGAAACGCUUUCAGACACAUUCCAUUAUUAAUGCAUCUUUCGAUGCACCAUCACUUACAGGUGCAAAACUUGCCCAGAAGUCCCACGGUUGAACAUGGGUAACCUCUCCAAUUUCGCUCUCCUGAGAACAGAAGCCGGAGUCCUCUUCUUCGGUUAAUUAAUAAUUCAGCGUUUGGGCACUUGAACAGAGGCUAACUGAAAUUUUCAAGCAAUUACGACUCCUCUGUAAUUAUCCGUUUCUGCCGAAUCACUUUGAUAAUGGUGAGAGGAUUAAAUUAGAAACGGCAAUCGAUACAGGGGAGGAUUUAAUUAAGGUUCCAUCGGGUGACAGGAAAAAAAAAGGGUUUUAAUGAGUGCGAGAAUCUCGUUGUAUCCUUUUUAAUUUCGUGAACAAAAAAGUUUAAACUUUUUUUUUUAUUGAGUGCUAUUUAAGGUUGAUAAUUUCUUUGAACUGAACACUUACAAAUUUGGUCAAUUUAACUGACUGAACAAAACGCACCUUUUUCAACUUAUUAUCCCAGUUGAAUGAUGGUUCAGUGAGGGGCUCCCGGGACAAUUGAAGCAUCUUGGAGAAAUUAAGUAAACGACAGACAUUUAUAACGGAAGCCACCCCCAUCCCCAACUCCAAUUGCUCUAUUAUUCGAUGCCGGAGAUUGAUACCGGGACCUGAGGGGGCGGCUUUUAUGCCACUCGAGAGCCCCUUCUGGAAACUUUACGAUUACCGCUAUAAAUUCCGGUAAAUAUUUUCCUUAGCAUAUUUCUCGUUGGGUGGAAAUUUAUGUAAAGCUCAUCCCGAGUAGAAUGGAAAGCGGAUUAGAAACCCGUGCGAACAGCCGAUAGACUAUGAAUCAAAGGACGAAUGAAGGGUGAAAUUACGUUUGGCCAAAAAGAUUUUCAAGACGGGGUGCUGGUAUUUCGUAACACCUUUAAAAAAAGACGUAACGCGGAUGAUUAAUAGGGCAUUUAAGAGAUAAUUAAACAACAACGCGAGAAUGGUAUGAAAAAGAAGAAAAGAUAAGAAAAGGAUACCUUUAAAAAGUUAAG